rnacentral:rRNA from 1 species
UACGUAGGGUGCAAGCGUUAAUCGGAAUUACUGGGCGUAAAGCGUGCGCAGGCGGUUUUGUAAGUCUGACGUGAAAUCCCCGGGCUCAACCUGGGAAUUGCGUUGGAGACUGCAAGGCUGGAAUCUGGCAGAGGGGGGUAGAAUUCCACGUGUAGCAGUGAAAUGCGUAGAGAUGUGGGGGAACACCGAUGGCGAAGGCAGCCCCCUGGGUCAAGAUUGACGCUCAUGCACGAAAGCGUGGGGAGCAAACAGG